CCUACGGGAGGCAGCAGUGGGGGAUAUUGCACAAUGGGGGAAACCCUGAUGCAGCGACGCCGCGUGGGUGAAGAAGCGCCUCGGCGCGUAAAGCCCUGUCAGUAGGGAAGCAAAUGACGGUACCUGAAGAAGAAGCACCGGCUAACUACGUGCCAGCAGCCGCGGUAAUACGUAGGGGGCAAGCGUGAUCCGGAUUUACUGGGUGUAAAUGGGGCGCAGGCGGCGAUGCAAGCCAGGAGUGAAAGCCCGGGGCCCAACCCCGGGACUGGUCUUGGAACUGCGUGGCUAGAGUGCAGGAGGGGCAGGCGGAAUUCCUGGUGUAGCGGUGAAAUGCGUAGAUAUCAGGAGGAACACCGGUGGCGAAGGCGGCCUGCUGGACUGCAACUGACGUUGAGGCCCGAAAGCGUGGGGAGCAAACAGGAUUAGAUACCCUUGUAGUC
rnacentral:rRNA from 1 species